rnacentral:rRNA from 1 species
CUUGGUCAUUUAGAGGAAGUAAAAGUCGUAACAAGGUUUCCGUAGGUGAACCUGCGGAAGGAUCAUUACAAAUCUUUUGCGAGUGCUGCGCUUGCGUAGUAUCUCACAACAUUAGCACAAGGUCGCAAGGCCUUGAUGUUUACGCUUGUUUGUUUGACAGAGUUAGUUGAGACAAUAAAAAGACAACUUUUAACAAUGGAUCUCUUGGCUCUUGCAACGAUGAAGAACGCAGUAAAGUGCGAUAUGUAGUGCGAUUUGCAUGAAUCUGUGAGUCAUCUAAUCUUUGAACGCAACUUGCGCCUCUUACGAGGCAUGUCUGUUUGAGUGCCGUAAUCCUCUGCAGCAAUGCGAUUUGACUCUUGUCUUUGUUGACCGAGUUUAAAGGGAGCUAGAGGAUGGUCAGUUUAGACUAGUCCGAGUGCUAAGCAUUCUUGGGUCUAGCGCUGGAUUGCUCAUUGUAUCUAUUUUUUAUUUUGGCCUCAAAUCAGGCAAGACUACCCGCUGAACUUAAGCAUAUCAAUAAGCGGAGA